UGACGGUAUCAUAUGAAUAAGCACCGGCUGACUCCGUGCCAGCAGCCGCGGUAAUACGGGGGGUGCAAGCGUUACUCGGAAUCACUGGGCGUAAAGAGCAUGUAGGCGGGUGAAUAAGUUGGAAGUGAAAUCCUAUAGCUUAACUAUAGAACUGCUUCCAAAACUGUUCACCUAGAGUAUGGGAGAGGUAGAUGGAAUUUCUGGUGUAGGGGUAAAAUCCGUAGAGAUCAGAAGGAAUACCGAUUGCGAAGGCGAUCUACUGGAACAUUACUGACGCUCAGAUGCGAAAGCGUGGGGAGCAAACAGGAUUAGAUACCCUGGUAGUCCACGCCCUAAACGAUGUACACUAGUUGUUGCUAUACUAGAUAUGGCAGUAAUGCAGUUAACACUUUAAGUGUACCGCCUGGGGAGUACGGUCGCAAGAUUAAAACUCAAAGGAAUAGACGGGGACCCGCACAAGCGGUGGAGCAUGUGGUUUAAUUCGACGAUACGCGAAAAACCUUACCUGGCCUUGACAUAGUAGGAAUCUUUAAGAGAUUAGAGAGUGCUAGCUUGCUAGAACCUACAUACAGGUGCUGCACGGCUGUCGUCAGC
rnacentral:rRNA from 1 species